rnacentral:tRNA from 1 species
GUACGGUUACUCAAGUUUGGAUGAAGAGGACGGUUUGCUAAAUCGUUAGGGUGGUUUUUAACCACCACAAAGGUUCGAAUCCUUUACCGUACGCCA